rnacentral:rRNA from 1 species
UACAGAGGGGGCAAGCGUUUGUUCGGAAUUACUGGGCGUAAAGGGCGCGUAGGCGGCCUUCUAAGUCGAACGUGAAAUCCCUGGGCUCAACCCAGGAACUGCGUCCGAUACUGGAAGGCUUGAAUCCGGGAGAGGGAUGCGGAAUUCCAGGUGUAGCGGUGAAAUGCGUAGAUAUCUGGAGGAACACCGGUGGCGAAGGCGGCAUCCUGGACCGGUAUUGACGCUGAGGCGCGAAAGCUAGGGGAGCAAACGGG